UUUUAUUUGAGUUUGAUGAUGGCUCUGAGUGAACGCUAUGUAAAUGCUUGACACAUGCUAAUCGAACGUCAAUAUUUAAUUUGUAUAAAUUAUGUAUAUUGAAGUGGUGUACAGGUGAGUAAGUGGUAUUAUGGCUACCUAAGAGUAAGGCAAAAUAAAUCCCUUAUAAUAACCAUUUAUUAUUAUUUAUUAAUACUAGAUCUAAUCACCCAGUGGUCGAUUAUAUUGAAAAGUUUAGAUAUAAAGGUUAAUAAUAUUAAGAAUAAAUGUGUUUAAAAGAAAUAGUAUUUCGCUCUUAGUUGAUUAUUAAUAACCAUCGGAUAAGUAGUAAGUAUGGUAAUGGCAUAUUUAGCUUGUGUCCGUAGUCAAGACUGAGAGGUCUAUUGACCACACUGGGUCUGAAAAAACCCCAGUGCGUGUAGUACAGCAGUGAGGAAUUUUGGUCAAUGGCCUAACGGCUGAACCAGCAACUUGCAGGAAUGAGAGUUAAUAUAAUAAGUUUAUUAACUUGCUUGACUAGGUCUUAUAAAGUUCUGGAUAAAGCUUAUUAUGAAAACUUUAUAUCCAUAGGUCUCGACCAAAUCUUGUGCCAGCAGUCGCGGUAAGACAAGGGAGACGAGUGUUAUUCAUCUUUAACAGGUAUAUAGGGUACCUAGACGGUGUGCAAUGGCUUAAAUAAGUACCUGGUACACUUGAGUUUGAUAUGUGAGAGGAAUAUGUCGGAAUUGUUGGAGGAAAGAUGAAAUUUGUUAAUACCAAUAGGACUGAUAACGGCGAAGGCAAACCUCUAUGUACAUGUACUUGCUAUUUCUAAAUUAGAAGAAAUUUCUCUUAUAAAAGAUAGAUCUUAUAUAAAAAAAGAGGAAAACAGCAAUGUGCUAUAACUGACGUUGAGGGACGAAGGCUCAGAGAGUGAAGAGGAUUAGAUACCCCCGUAACCUGGGCAGACAAUGAUGAGUGCCAUAGGUUGGCUUUAAGGCGGAACUAUAAAUGAAAGUGGAAGCACUCCACCUCAAGAGUAAUGUGGCAACGCAGGAACUGAAAUCAUUAGACCGUUUCUGAAACCAGUAGUGAAGUAUGUUAUUUAAUUCGAUGAUCCGCGAAUAACCUUACCACAAUUUGAAUGACCUAAAAUAUUUUUUUUGAAUUUUUAGACCACAUGCGUUGCAUGGCUGUCUUCAGUUAAUGUCGUGAGAUUUGGUUAGGUCCAUUAAAUUAACGUAAACCCUUGUUUUAUUUAUUACAAUAAAGCAGCUCUCCGCUUACAAUUGGAUGUGAUAAUAGGGACUAAGACAAGUCAUCAUGGCCUUAAUAUUGUGGGCUAUAGACGUGCCACAUGUGCCUUUACAAAGGGAUGCAAUAAUGCGAAUUGGAGCUAAUCCCUAAAAUAGGAUAAAGUAUGGAUUGUAGUCUGAAAUUCGACUGCAUGAAAAAGGAAUUACUAGUAAUCGUGAGUAAUCACAUCACGGUGAAUUUUAUCUCAGAUAGGUACUAACCACUCGUCAGGCGCUGAAAGGAGUAUGUGCAAUAAGUUUGGUGGCUGCGGAUUGCUAGUCUAAAUGUACAGGUUUAGAUCUUUUGGCAGAAAUAUCUUCGUAUGCGUGACUCUAAUUGGUGUUAAGUCGAAAUACGGUUCGGGUUGGGGAACUAGCCCGGGAUAAAUGAAUAUU
rnacentral:rRNA from 1 species